UACGUAGGGGGCGAGCGUUGUCCGGAAUUAUUGGGUGUAAAGAGCGUGUAGGCGGUUCGGUAAGUCUGCCGUGAAAACCUGGGGCUCAACCCCGGGCGUGCGGUGGAUACUGCCGGGCUAGAGGGUGGUAGAGGCGAGUGGAAUUCCCGGUGUAGCGGUGAAAUGCGCAGAUAUCAGGAAGAACACCGAUGGCGAAGGCAGCCUCUCUGGGACGGUACUGACGCUGAGACGCGAAAGCGUGGGGAGCGAACAGG
rnacentral:rRNA from 1 species